GGGCCCAUAGCUCAGUUGGUAGAGCGCUUGCAUGGCAUGCAAGAGGUCAGCGGUUCGAAUCCGCUUGGGUCCACCA
rnacentral:tRNA from 2 species